rnacentral:rRNA from 1 species
UACGUAGGGUGCAAGCGUUGUCCGGAAUUAUUGGGCGUAAAGAGCUCGUAGGCGGUCUGUCGCGUCUGCUGUGAAAACUCAGGGCUUAACCCUGAGCUUGCAGUGGGGUACGGGGCAGACUAGAGUGCGGGUAGGGGAGACUGGAAUCCUGGUGUAGCGGUGAAAUGCGCAGAUAUCGGGAGGAACACCAGAGCGAAGGGCGGCACUCUGGGCCGGGUACUGGACGCUGAGGAGCGAAAGCGUGGGGA